rnacentral:rRNA from 1 species
CCUACGGGUGGCUGCAGUAAGGAAUAUUGGUCAAUGGACGCAAGUCUGAACCAGCCAUGCCGCGUGGAGGAUGAAGGCCCUCUGGAUUGUAAACUUCUUUUAUUUGGGAAGAAACUCCCGAUUUCCAUCGGGAUUGACGGUACCAGAUGAAUAAGCACCGGCUAACUCCGUGCCAGCAGCCGCGGUAAUACGGAGGGUGCAGGCGUCAUCCGGAUUAACGGGGUCGUAGGUGUGCAGAUAAGUCAGGGGUGAAAUCUCCGGGCUUAACCCUGAAACUGCCAUUGAUACUAUUUGUCUUGAAUACUCUGGAGGUGAGCGGAAUAUGUCAUGUAGCGGUGAAAUGCUUAGAUAUGACAUAGAACACCCAUUGCGAAGGCAGCUCACUACGGAAAUAUUGACGCUGAGGCACGAAAGCGUGGGGAGCAAACAGGAUUAGAUACCCGUGUAGUC